rnacentral:lncRNA from 1 species
CCCGCCCCCAAAUCCCGUGGCCCUCUGCGGGACAUUAUUUAAGUCCCUCGCUGCGCUUUUUCGGUCUUGUUUCAUUCGCUGUUGUCUGGUUCAGGCACACGUUUGAGUAGAAAAGAACCCUGCGCUGAUUGGAAUGUUCCGCUCAAAAGAGCUUACUGGUAUGAGGAUGGGGACAAGACCCUUCCGCAAAUGGCGGGUGGCACGAGGCCCUGGAAGAGCUGGUCAUAUUACGCCUAGAUAGCACCCUUUGAUGUUACUCAACAUUCAGCUAUACAGUGAUGCUCCAGGUCCUGAUGCUGUAUCAUCUGUCUUCUGUAAGUUACCUAUGGUAACUAUGGUAAAUGAGGAACAUUAUGGUUGUGAACCCAUUAUCCAGGAUGAACUAAUUUUACCUUCAAGGUACCCAACAAUAUGCCAAGGUCCGGUUGCUGGAAGGAGCUGA